UGGUGAACAUAGCAUUUUGGAACCACCUGAUCCCAUGCCGAACUCAGUAGUGAAACGAAAUAGCCGAAGGGUCGGCCCCGACCGAUGAUAGUGUGGGGGCGGCCAGCGUUGGCUUUCCCAUGUGAAAGUAGGACAUCGCCAGGGC
rnacentral:rRNA from 1 species